CCUACGGGAGGCAGCAGUGAGGAAUAUUGGUCAAUGGACGAGAGUCUGAACCAGCCAAGUAGCGUGAAGGAUGACUGCCCUAUGGGUUGUAAACUUCUUUUAUAUGGGAAUAAAAUGUUCCACGUGUGGGAUUUUGUAUGUACCAUAUGAAUAAGGAUCGGCUAACUCCGUGCCAGCAGCCGCGGUAAUACGGAGGAUCCGAGCGUUAUCCGGAUUUAUUGGGUUUAAAGGGAGCGUAGGUGGAUUGUUAAGUCAGUUGUGAAAGUUUGCGGCUCAACCGUAAAAUUGCAGUUGAAACUGGCAGUCUUGAGUACAGUAGAGGUGGGCGGAAUUCGUGGUGUAGCGGUGAAAUGCUUAGAUAUCACGAAGAACUCCGAGUGCGAAGGCAGUUCACUGGACUGCAACUGACACUGAGGCUCGAAAGUGUGGGUAUCAAACAGGAUUAGAUACUCCUGUAGUC
rnacentral:rRNA from 1 species